CCUUUUUCGUCGCCUGAGACAACAACAAAAACAGAUCUAAGAAGGAUGGACGAAGGAGACGAGUACAACGACAACGUAUAAGGAGAUUCGAAGUUUGAUUUCGGAUUCAAAGCCUACUGAUUUUCGUUCCAUAGUUUCUCUCGCUUUUCUGCUUUCGAUUCUAAAAGCCAUGGAAUCCGAUGGAGCUUUGAUUGAGGCUUGAUACGCCGUUGAUUUGAGGGUUGUCGUUUGUGGUGGAAGUUCGUGGUUUCUGCUGGUUUUUAGCCGCUGAUUUCGCUCGAAUUUAGAGUCGAAACUUGGUUGUGAAUAUAGGUACCCAAGAGCUAGGUUAAGAUGAGUUUUCUUUUACAUGUGUUUAUGUGGUGAUAUAAUUGUUAUGGUGCAUUUAUGAGUUAAUUUCCAGUCGUUUGAUUUUUCCGAAUCUGAUUUCCCUCGGUUUAAUUAGCUUCUUGUAUUCUAUCACUGUUGGUAUAAUACAAUGUAAAAAUGUUAAGGGAAGAUGUUGAGUCAACAGUCAACAACACAUCUGAUUCUUCUUGGCUUAAGUAAACUUCGAUAAUGUUGAGUCACGAACCAUAGAAAUUUGUUAUAAGUCGUUCACUAACUUAUUGAAAAACAUAGAGUGCAA